CCCGUCAGGUCCGGAAGGAAGCAGCGGUAAGUGGAAACCCCUAUGUGCCGCAAGGGUGCCUGAUCCGAGCUAACUACCUAAAUAUCGUCUGGAAGACCACAUUCGACGAUAGGUGCACGA
rnacentral:SRP_RNA from 1 species